rnacentral:lncRNA from 1 species
AUGGGAAACAUCAUGAAAGACAUCAACACUAAUGCCUGCUUUCAAGAUUACAAAGUAAACCAACAUGCUUUAACACUCCACAAAGCUUUCCUUCACUCUGUGGUUCCAGUUCUCCUCACUUCUCCUCUCAGCUCCGUGUGGGAUAUUCCGUGAGGAACUGAAGUGAGCACUUCUCAACUCUUUGUUUUCUACAUUCAUGCUAUCAUUUUAACAAAUAUCUUGAAGAUGAAGAUAAAAAGCUGUGGAAAGCACAUCAUUACCGA